AGCGAACGCUGGCGGCAGGCCUAAUACAUGCAAGUCGAGCGCCCGUAGCAAUACGGGAGCGGCAGACGGGUGAGUAACACGUGGGAACGUACCCUUCGGUUCGGAAUAACCCAGGGAAACUUGGGUUAAUACCGGAUACGCCUUACGGGGAAAGAUUUAUUGCCGAAGGAUCGGCCCGCGUCCGAUUAGCUAGUUGGUGGGGUAAUGGCCCACCAAGGCGACGAUCGGUAGCUGGUCUGAGAGGAUGANCAGCCACACUGGGACUGAGACACGGCCCAGACUCCUACGGGAGGCAGCAGUAGGGAAUAUUGGGACAAUGGGCGCAAGCCUGAUCCAGCCAUGCCGCGUGGGUGGUGAAGGCCCUAGGGUUGUAAAGCCCUUUGGCGGGGAAGAUAAUGACGGUACCCGCAGAAGAAGCCCCGGCUAACUUCGUGCCAGCAGCCGCAGU
rnacentral:rRNA from 1 species